rnacentral:lncRNA from 1 species
GAGCAGUCUGUACGCUCAGCUCCACCUGCCCCACGUAAGAGGAAAUGGAGGGAAAGAGGUCAAUCACAAGAUACUUUUCUACCAUCAGUACCUCGUCCUCCAGUCACUAUGGCCAGAACUGAAUCUAGGUUCCAAUCAUGGCCAGUAUGUGGCAUAUGUGGAAGCAGCACCCUGGCAGAUGCAGAAUGGGUCAGGAAGUGUGCUACAGAUGUGGACAGCCGGGUCAUUUUGCCAGAGAAUGCCCGCAGGGUGCCACCCAGCAGUUUGUGCCUUUGGCAUCAUACCCUUCUGUGCAGAUGGACAGGCCUAGUAGUAGAGAGCCUGUAGGCAAAGGCAGAGGUCAAGCACAAACAUCACAGCAGAGUGCUGGACCAUCUCAACUGUCAGCUCCAGUAGGCAGAGGGCAAGGAAGGGUGUUCACGGUAAAUCCAUAGGAGGCACAGGC